rnacentral:misc_RNA from 1 species
GGCAAAUUCUCAAGAACCAUGGAGACAAUCAAUUGCAGUCUCAGCUAUGCCAUUGCCUUCCUCUUCUCCUUCUAUUUCCUUGUAUUCUCUGCUCACUCAAAAUCACCUCUCCUGGGUGUCCACCCCUUAGAUCAGAAGUACUUUGCUUCGCGGGUCAUCAAGUGCAAGGACGGCUCGAAAUCCUUCACCAGAGACCGUCUCAAUGAUAAUUUCUGCGAUUGCGUUGAUGGGACAGACGAACCCGGAACUUCAGCCUGUCCCAGAGGCAAAUUUUAUUGCAGCAAUUUAGGAAGUAAACCUCAGUUUAUUUUUUCAUCUCGUGUUAAUGAUCGAAUUUGUGGUGAGUAUAAUUAGUAAAAUUGAUUAUUUACUGCCUCAGAUGGUUCAGGUGCAGUAACCUAAGUUUUAUGAUCUACACACCUCACUGGAUUUGAGAAUGACCUGCAUCAUUCGAGGGAAGACUUCUACAUUUUUUUGUAGUGAAUCACUUACGUUGACUGUUUGUUUGUCUUGUUUUUGCACUUGCCGUGCUUACUAAUUUCUGCAACUGUGUGACUUGAUGCCUAGGAGGUCAUCAUUUUUUAUGAUCUACUAAAGUAGCACAUUGAGUUGUUGACAAAUUAGUAAUGUGAUGACUCUUAUUCUCUAAAGAACUUCAGUUUUUGUCUUUUUUAUUGUUGAUAUGAGGUGUUAGGUCCAUCAAAUAUGCUGUCCAGUUUAAGUUGGCCUGGUUGGCAACAUCAUAUUUGUUAAUACUGAAUGAGUUGCUAUGUGCACUUCAAGCAGUUUAUCUAUACUGCUUCAAUCCUGUUUUCUAUAAUAUAUGAAGUUUGCUUUUUCUUUUGAUUAAUAAACUUAGUUUUGUUCUUGUGUUGUACAAUGAUUCCAUCUGUCAAUUUAUUAACUUUGUAGAUUGCUGUGAUGGAAGCGAUGAGUAUGAUGGUGGAAUUAAUUGCCCAAACACAUGUGUCAUGGGUGGAAAUUUGGAGUACAGGGCUAAAAAUAUUGUCUUAUCUAUUGAUGCAAAGGAAUCAAAAGAUGAUGUUCUUUUGGACGACUUAUUGCAUAAAGCAAAAGGUGUGCUUUAAGUAUCAUUUUCUUUCUUCUUUUUCUUAAUUUCUUUUUUAAGCCAAGGUGCAGUUACAAGUAAUGUGAAUAAGGCUAUACUUGUUGAUUCUAGGUUUGAAGAUGGUGAUAAUCCUACAGAUGGUUCUUCUUGGUUGUGUGAUAACAUUUCGUUUAUUUCGUCGGCAUGGAAAAUUAAAAAGAAGGCAUUAUCAUGAAAGAACUCCAUUGAUGACUUAGGUAAAAGCCUCUUUACUAUUUUGGAGUGUCACUUCUGCGGAAUAGUUCAAAUUUCCCACUAGCUAAUCAUGGUUAUGCAUUCAUUAUGUCUCCAAUAUUGGUCAUUGCAGGUCCCUACUGGGACAUUCUGGUAUUUAUUGCAUUUGUCGUGGAGGUUUUUCCUUCUCGAUACCAAGUGUAUUCAUGGGAGUUGAACUAUAUGGAGGUUGAUGCAUUGCCAUUGGUUAUACAAAGUGUACGAGUGCAUAUGUUGCAACUAAUACAAUCUCCGAAGGCUCGGGAUAUACUUCAACAUAGAACUACACUGUAACACUAAAUAAAAAAAAGAAACAUUGGGCAGCACAGCUGCAUCAUAGGUUUAACUAUCAUUGUAGGCGUAUUAAAUUGGAAAGAACAGUUUUGGGGUGGUAGUGACUGCAAGAAAGAUUAUGUCCAAUUUCUGUGCUUUCUUGUGCUUUUCUUUGAUGCUAUCUCAAGCUUGCCUUUGCUAGAGAAAUGAUUUAUGUAUUAAUGAUCAAAAAAUUUCCCAUGCUUCUCUGUUAUACACCUCGGAGCGAGAAACUGAGAAUGUAAAUAUAAAUAUUUUCUCAAUCUAGAGAAUGAAAUUACAAAAUUA